rnacentral:SRP_RNA from 1 species
GGCCGGGUCCUGUGCAACGUCGAACCGGUGAAUCCCCCCAGAUCCGGAAGGAAGCAAGGGCAGCUAGGAUUCACGUGUGCCGCAGGGUGCCUGGCCACU